rnacentral:lncRNA from 1 species
CUUCUUCCACCUCGCAAUCCAAGGCGCGUGCGUCGCAGGAUAAACUCUACUGUGGCGGCGCCACUUCCAUCUCCGACUCCGUUCACGCCCGCCUGCUCCACUCUCUGUUCUUCUUCGUAGCUCUCUUGCAACCAUCGAGUCUGAGGUAAGAGACUGAUUAAGCUUUUGUUUUUCUGCUUAUUCUCUCUAGUUCGCGCUAAGAGACUGAUCCAUUGCAUUUCGACACUGAUUGCAAUUGCAUUUAGCCAUAUUUUCAUGUUUUCACUAAUCUGAACUCUUUUUUCCAUGUUUCUCACAUUGCACUACAUUGUCGGAAGAUGCAUAUGUUUAAGCUAGAAGUUCUUAUUUGGUGCUAAAUGAUCAUCUGGGUCAUUUGUCAUUUGCCCAAAUUAAUCAAUUUGUGCUAUUUCUUGUUAUGUUAUAUCAACUUUAUUGUAUUCAAUUAGUGGAAAAUAGAUUUACAAAUCAGUACAAGGUAACUAUUGAAGCAGAUUUUGAAGAUAGGUUUUUCACCUUACUGAUUUGUUUGUGAACCAAUCAUGUUGUGCUUAGCUUGUUUUUGCAAUGCAACAAAGUGACUUCAUGAUUCAGAUUUUAUAUACCAGGUAACUAGUAGGCAGUAGCCUGUUAAGUAAAUAAUGUUGAACCAGUUGAUGUUGGAAUUGGAUGGUUUUAAUAGUCUCUAAAAUAAAGCAUCACAUUGUAUAUUAAGUUCUUUCUGUGCACAUGUGCAGUUGUUUCUGGGAUUAAGUAUAUUUACUCUUUUCUCCUUUUAUUUUUUAAAUUGCGCAAGGUUUCCACAAGGAUCCUUAGGCUGAGCAUCAUCAUUUGAGGCUGGUUACUUUUCAGUUUUCACAAUGAAGAGCCCAGUUUGUGCAUGCAACUCAUCAUCCUUCUUGUUUGAAGCAUCACAUCUAUACCCAAGCUUAUAAGCAUUAGGAAAAGAACCCUUAAUUAACAAAAUAUAAAGCUUUAGGCUUCCCACUAUUACUAAACUAAUGAAGAACAUUUGCACAUUAAAAUAAGAACCAGGAAGACAUUGGGAACACAAACUCGAGCGCAAACACAAGUCUUGACAGUGGAGUCUAAAAAUACUGAGCGAGAGAUACAUUCAUAUAUAGUUAGACACAAGCAACCAGCCAGAACACUGAGCCAAUGUUUUUGUGACUCCAGAAAGCUUAAGGUUGCUCUGUUGGAAGAACUUGUGGGGAUGGGACAGUGAGCAAAAUAAAAGAUGUGUUUUCAAUGUUUGCUAUCAUGAUCUGGAUUGUAAUUCCUGUUUUUAAUGCUUUUGUUAUCUAUGCAGAACUCAGGACUGUUUCUAAUGCUGUCGUUAUUGCUUUCCAGAUCUUGUAGGUGGUCCCUUCACUUCACAUGGUUGAGCUGUGCAAGUCUGAAGGAGAUACUUUGAAAUUUCACAAGGUAAUUUAAUGAAAAAUUAAUUAUGUGUUUGUUUAUGGUAGUGAAAUAAUUCCUUGACAUCAUUAGUACUAGUGUUUAAGGCAGUGAAAAGCAGUGUUUAUCUUCACGUCCUCUCUUAAAGAACUACACUAUGAAUGCAGAAGAACAUAAUGAACAUGCUGAAAUUUAUAGUUUUUCUAGGUUAAUUAAAGCAGAGAUGAUAAAGAUUAUGAACAGUGACCAAAACUCAAACUAAAAGAGUGUGCAAAGACUAUAGUUCAUUGAUAUCAGAUUUUCUAGAAAAGUGAAUGGCCUCUCAUUGAAUUUGCGUGAGUAGCAGGGGCUGAUAUCAGUUGGGUGUAAUUAGGCUGUGGUCUUUACCUUUUCAUUUUAAUUCUCAAUUAGUCACUGCUGGUGUAUUGGUGACUGUAUUUCACUAUUUCCUUUUCUGUUCUCCUAUCUCUAGUAUUGGGUUGGGGCACCCCUUGUGCUCCCUCUUAAUAUUAUUUGGCUUACCCAAAAAUAAAUAUUAAAAGCACAAUUGACAUAGGAGAUAUAUAUUUAUUUUAAAUAUUAAUUGGUUCAUCAACUAGAUAUGCAAACAGAAUUACAGAUAGAUCCCUUUGAAAGUUACAGUGCAUGCAAGCAACCGCAACUCUGCAAAUACAUCGAGGGCACAAUAGUACCUCUCAACUGUCGAGUACAAUAAAAACACAAUACAAGUAAAUGAAACAAGUGAAAAGUUUCCUUUCUCUUCUAUGUAUGUUUCUCAUGAUGUGCUCUUCCAUCCAUAGCUUUCUCUGCUUUCAC